UACGGGGGGAGCAAGCGUUGUUCGGAUUUACUGGGCGUAAAGGGCGCGUAGGCGGUCAGCACAAGUCAGUUGUGAAAUCUCCGGGCUUAACCCGGAAAGGUCAACUGAUACUGUGCGACUAGAGUGCGGGAAGGGGCAACUGGAAUUCUCGGUGUAGCUGGUGAAAUGCGUAGAUAUCGAAGAGGAACACCUGCGGCGAAGGCGGGUUGCUGGGCCGACACUGACGCUGAUGCGCGAAAGCCAGGGGAGCGAACGGG
rnacentral:rRNA from 1 species